GCACCCGUGGUGGAAUUGGCAGACACGUAAGAUUCAGGUUCUUAUGCCUAACAGCGUGUGGGUUCGAGUCCCACCGGGUGCACCA
rnacentral:tRNA from 1 species